rnacentral:misc_RNA from 1 species
AAAUAAAAAAUAAAAAAAUAACAAAUUAAAAACCUGCAGCACAAUGAUAUUUAAUUGAUAAUCCAAUUGGCUUUUCGGUUUUUGGAGAGGCCUAUUUCAGCGGUAAUAUAUAUAGCGGUGGUGGAGGAUAAAAGCAGUACAAUUUUAUUUUGAUUUUUUUGUUUCUCCCUAGAAAUUCUAGAACAAUAAAGAUGAUGAUUUAACGGAAUUUUCCCUUUGCCUUUGUAGACAUAAAUAUAUAUAUAUUACAUAACAUUAAAUAUACCGCAGAUUUGGA